rnacentral:rRNA from 1 species
GUGCGCCUUAUGCAUGCAAGUCGAGCGAAGCUUUUCAGUAGUUUACUACAGAAAAUGACUGAGCGGCGAACGGGUGAGUAACGCGUGAGCAAUCUACCUUAGUUACAGGGAUAGCCCGAGGAAACUCGGAUUAAUACCUGAUAUUCUUUAUUUCUCGCAUGAGAAUAAAAGGAAAGGUCAGCCGAACUAAGAUGAGCUCGCGUUCUAUCAGCUAGUUGGUGAGGUAAAAGCUUACCAAGGCUACGACGGAUAGCUGGUCUGAGAGGACGAUCAGCCACACUGGGACUGAGACACGGCCCAGACUCCUACGGGAGGCUGCAGCAGGGAAUAUUGUGCAAUGAACGAAAGUUUGACACAGCGACACCGCGUGUGGGAUGACGGAUCUAGGUUUGUAAACCACUUUCAGGAGGGAAGAAAAUGACGGUACCUCCACAAGAAGCCCCGGCCAA